AUAUCGUGCCACUGCACUCCAGCCUGGUGACAGAGCAAGACUCUGUCUCAAAAAUAAAUAAAUAAAUAAGAUCACAAACACAAUGAAAUGCUAGCAAUCAUCUUGAUUUAAUAACUCUGAAAGAAAGGUUUUAUUUAGAGAAGGGUUAAAGAAAUUUAUUUGAAGUUCCACCAACAUCCACAUCUACCUAUCAAACACUAAUCUUGUAAAUGACUCUUUGGAAUCUUUCCUGGCAUCCUUCUCCCUGACUGGAAAGGAUCACUUCUAUUGUGUCCCACAUCAAUAUAGCAUUCCUUUGACUACUUCUCUUUUUACCUUUCAGUAGAGUAUAAACUCUUUCAGAAUAAGGUUGUAAGGUGUCACAUAUCUAGAUUCUAAUAUAUUGCCUGACAGUUUGUUGAAUGAAUGAAUGAUUUAUUCUUUCUCUCGAAUUCUAUUAUCGCAAUAUAUUCCGAUUUUUUUGUUUACUUCUUGAUCUUAAAGACAACCCUGUUUGAUUAUCUUCUUCAGAUUUACAGUUUGGAUUCUGAGAACAUCAUGAAAGUUUGAAUUUGAACUUGUUUGUUUUCUGCUUCAUGUGAAAUCCUUUAAGUGGAAACUUACCCUGAUGACUCUAUCCAGGCCUUUAUUUAUUCAUCUUGUUAUCAGGAAGCUCACAUCCCUUUAUCCCAUUAAAAGAAAAAAAAACAUAAACAAAACUCUUUUUCUUUCUACAUCCUCCCAACACUUCUGACAUCAAAUGUGUGUUUUGCAUACCAAGCAAUUCUCCAAUUAUCUGCAGACAUGAACUGGGUGUCUGACAAUUUAACUCAGUUUUGGCACUAACUGCCUGGCAUUAGCAUAGUCCCCGCAAGUCAAAUGCCACAAGACUGUCCCCAAUUUCAGAUGUAAGUCCCAGGUUGUGACUUGUACUUCUGACAAAGUGGCUAUAAAUCAGGGGUUCCAUGGCCCCAACUUCAGGUUUGAUAAUUUGCUAGAACAGUUCACAGAACUUAGAAAAGCACCCUAGCCAUACUUACCAGUUUAUUUUAAAGGAUACAACUCAAGAACAGCCAAAUGAAAGAGAUGCUUAGGACACAGUAUGGGGGAGGGCACAGAACUUCAGUGCCCCUUCUGGGCACACCACCCUCGCAGCACCUCCAUGUAUUCACCAACCUGGAAGCUCUCCAAAGCCCAUUGUUUACGCUUUUUAUGGAGGUUCCAUUAGGUGGGCACGAUUAAUUAAAGCAUUGGUCAUUGGUGAUUGAAUUCUAUCUCCAGCCCCUUUCCCCUCUCUAGAGGCUGUAAGUUCCCACCCUCUAAUCACGCAGUUAGUUCCUCUGGCAGCCAGUCCUCAUCCUGAAGCUCUCUAGCAGUUUUCAGCCUCAAAUCAUCUCAUUAAUAUGCAAAAAGGCACUCAUCACUGGACAGUCCAAGGGUUUUAGAAGAUCUUAUAUCAGGAACCAGGGACUAAGACCAAAUAUAUAUGUAUAUAUUUGUCACACCCAUCUUUUCUUUGGCUAAAUGAAGGAAGAAAAAAUAAAAAAGGAAAGAAAAACAUAGUUUUUUUUUUUUCCUCAUGAUGUCCCAGUGAGAAGUCUCUCUUAAUGACUAUAUUAUUUACGUAGAAUGAUAAAGACUGGUAACUAGCCUAGCAACUCAUGGAUCUACCCAAACUUCCUUAUACAUUUUAUUAUUGUUUAUUUAUUUUUACACGUAAAAAACUGGUUCAUAAUACGUGUACACUAACUGGGGGCAUCAGAACAGAAGAAGGAGGGAUAUGAGCACUGAGAAGACAACUAAUAAUUGUCCACUGCACAAGAUCUCUUUAGUGAGCAUCAAAGUUAGAAGAUGAAAGGUAUGUAUGUAAUCCAGGGCCUUAUAUUUUAUCAACAAAGAUUAGUGUUUGGGGGAAUUUCAGUCCAAAAACUGAACCUAGUUUUUUCUCCACAUCAUGGACAUAAUAACUGUUAUAAAAUGCUUUGUUGCCUACUGAAUAGCAAAUAAAGGUCAAACCCUUUAGCAUGGUAUACACUGCCUUAACAGUCUGAGUCCAGCCCAACCUUCUAGUCCCAACUCUUGCCACCAUCUCUUUAUUUCCUUCCAUGCCCACUCAUUUCAGAUUUCUUAUUUUAUGCCUUUGCUCCCUCUGUUUUCAUUAUCUGGAAGCCUUCCCUCCUCACCUCUCUCUGCCUACGUCAGAAUUAGUUGUGUGCCUUAUGUGUAUUCUCAAAUAGCAUUGUAUAUAUACAUUAUAUAAAAAUACAUUAUACAGUCAUUACUUAACACCUGUAAGUUUUUCCUAACAUUUAUCAUAGCUCAUAUGUAUAUAUGCAUGCAAUUACAUGAUUAAUGUUUGUUUUCCCCACUAGACUACAAGCUCUAGAGUGCAGAAAUAAGUCUAAUUUAGUCUCUCUUGUAUCCUUAGUAUUCACAGGUAGUAAGUGCUCCAUAAAUAUCUGUUGCUAUUGAAUGUUUUUAAAAAUAUGAGAGACAGUGUGAAAUAGUAGUUAAGAUUGCUGUUUCUGUUAUCAGAUUGCCACAAGUCAAAUCCUAGAUUCAUCACUUACUAUCUGUGUGACUUUGGGCAGGCUCCUUAAAUUUUCUGUAUCUCUGUUCUACCACCUUUAAAAUGGAAAUAGUAGUACCUAUUUCAUAGGGUUUUUAAAAUUGAAAAUGAGAAUAGAUAGAUAGAUAAUGUUUAAAUAUUAUGCCUACCAUAUAGUAAGCACUCAACAGUUAGCUAUUAUUGCAAUUAUGCUUAUUACUAGAGGUAGGAGUCCAUGUGCCUCUUUUCUUGCUAGACUAUCUACUUCUUUAAGACUACAGCCAGCAUCAUUAAUGAUGUCAGGGCCUAGUCCAAGGCUCAGCAUGUCAUAGUCAUUUGGUAAAUGCUUAUUAAAUUGUUGUUGAAUUUGAAGAAUGCUAUUUAAGAAUAAACCACUAGGAUAGUUUGAUAAUGACUUGUCUUCCCAAGUUCCACAGUCUUUUAUUAUUUUUAUUAAUUAUGAAAAUUAAUAACUCUCACUUCUGUCAUUUAUUAUGUGCCCAGUCUAUUCCAGGCAAUAAUGAUACAUGGAUUAUUUCGUUUAGUUUAGUUUUUUUUUUUUUUUUUUUGAGACGGAGUCUUGCUCUGUUGCCCAGGCUGGAGUGCAGUGGCAUGAUCUUGGCUCAUUGCAACCUUUGCCUCCCGGAUUCAAGCGAUUUUCCUGCCUCAGCCUCCUGAGUAGCUGGGAUUACAGGCAUGCACAACCAUGCUUGGCUAAUUUUUGUAUUUUUAGUAGAGAUGGGGUUUUGCCAUGUUGACCAGGCUGGUCACGAACUCCUGACCUCAGGUGAUUUGCCCGCCUCAGACUCCCAAAGAUGUCAUUUAAUUUUUAUAAUAACUUGUGAGGUGUAGGUUUUUCAUUAUACAGAUGAGGCAGCUGAGCCUCAGAGAAGUUAAGGGACUUACUCCACAUCAUGCAGCUGGCAACAGAGAAAAAGAGAGUUUAAAGCCAGUUUCUCCCUAUAAAUGAAUAUGUUGUAAAAUAAAGUGUUCACCUAUAUAUAUGACAACAGAAAUGGCUUUAGUUCAUUGAGAAUGCACAUUUUGUAAAAUAACUGGUAAUGCCUCAUGGCCUUGUCACAAUGAGUGGCGCCCUAAUGGAGGAAACCUCACUGAUUCCUGGCCUUACAAUUUCCAGCUGGCUUUGUGGACAGGGUUCAUUAGUCUCAGAGUUUGGCAAAAGGAGUGCAAAACAUUCCAUCAGCUUCCCUUGUUUAUAGUAGGGCCUACAUUAAAAGAAAGCUUGGAUUAGGAAUAAAUGGCAUUUGUUUUAUCCCUUUAAUCAUUUUCUGGCAGUGAUGCUCACAGUACACAUUCACAAAUACACACAGAUACAAAUGUGCUGUCCUGUUCCCCAAAACAGCACCUUCAGAAGAACCUUUCAAUGCAACAUCCCUUCACUAUUAUUGAGGGAAUGUGGGAGGUGCUUCUUCCCCACAACCCAAAUGUACCUUCACUUGUGGAUAUAUCAUAGAAAUGCAAACAGAUCACCAGAUAAUUGUGGUACUUACUAUUCACAAUCAUAGAUGAAAGAAUUAUUUCUAGACGUUUUCCAGAAGAAGCAGCUUAACUACUGCUGAACAGUGUAAGUCUUACAGCACAGAAUCCUGAGUAUUCUCAUCCUUCCCUGAGGCGUUAAUGCUCAUUCCUGGGAGAAAUCUGGGCUGCUUAAUUUUUCCCCAUAAUAUUUAUGCUAGAAGAGUGAGAUAAUAUUUUAAGAACACAUUAAUCAGGUUAUCAAAAGCUGUUUUCAUGUUUGAUUAGUGCUUUGAUGAACUUAUUUAAUAAGUACUCAGAAAAACACAAUGCAAUUAUUUUUUGAAUGUAUUAUUUUUGGUCCACUUAAAUAUAAAGAAACCUGUAAGGAAAAACUAGCUAUAGUUUUAUAAUAUAUGAUUUAUAAGUACAUUGCAUCAGCUGUUUGAGGCAGCAAGGGAGGGGGAAAGAAGCAACAAAGGAAUUACUGAAUUUGUUUUUAUAAGGAAAAUAGUAUUUUGAAUAUUCAUUAAUUGCCUCUUCUGUGUUGAAGACUUACAGGCAGGAGAUACAAAAAUGAAAAAGACACACUUGGAAAUCACUCACUCUAAUAAGGACAACAUGUGGAAACAAGCUAUUACAGCACCAGAAUAAAGAAGCUAAUAGUGUCUGCUACCUUAAAAUCCCAGCCCCCUCUAAAAACAACACUAUACCCACUCCUUGCCUAUCUUAGUACCUGAAUGCAGCUGGUGAAACCCACGCAACUAAGCUGAGGUCCUGGUCUAAGGACAUGGCUCUCAACCUCAAAAGGGCCCUCAUGCUGGCAGUCCUGCUCCUUCCCCUCAAGCCCUUCAUGCUUCCUCUCUUGUAAGCAACUCCUUCAUACAUUCUCCUUGGCCAUUAUGCCUCCAACAUCACUUCCUUCACCGCUUCACACUCAGAGGAUGACCUUGCUUGCUGUUUCACUGAGAACAUCAGGAGACAGCAUCCACCUGCUCCCACACUCAUAUCCCUCCACCACCUGCCUCUGGGCCCACAGUGUUCUUCCUUCUUCCUUCCCAUCUCCUGGACGGGCUGAGAGUCCUGACUAAGAUCAGCUCCUCUCCUGUGUGCAUGAUUCCAUCCCCUCUCACCCACUCAAGAACUCUCCCCCAAUUUUUCCUCCUUCCUCCUCCCUCUCCUGGGUCACCAGUUUGAUGUCUGUCUAUUGAAUCAUUCCCAUUUGCAUAGAAAUAUGCUAUAAUGUUUUCCAUCUUAUUUGAAAAUAAAAACAACCCUCCUUUGACUCUUCAGCCCUCUUUAGCAAUCGCCUCUUUCCUUUGCUAUUCUUCACAGCAGAACUGCUUGAAAGAAUUAUACAAGCUCUCCUUUGAAAAUGGAGAAAGAAAAAAAAAGAACUAUUUAAGCUCUGUGUUUUCACUUCCUCUUUUUUUGCCUGGAACCCACUCUAAUCAAUCCCUACUACAAAAUGAAACAGCACAUUGCCAAAUUCAGUGGUCAGUUCUCAGAUUUCAUUAUUCGCCCUGUCAGCGGCAUUUGACACACUUGAUCUUCCUCUUUGUUGUAACAGCUUUAUUGAGAUAUAAUUUAUAUACUGUAAAACUCACCCUUUUAAGGUUACAAUUCAGUGGUUUUUCAUGUAUUUACAAAGUUGUGCAACCAUCAACAAUAUCUAAUUCCAGAACAUUUCAUUACCCUCAAAAGAAACCCCAUACCCAUUUGCAGUUACUUCCCCUCCUCCAUCCCCUGCCAGCCACUAAUCUAUUUUUUGUCUCUCUGGAUUUGCGUGUUCUAGACAUUUCCUGCCAAUGGAAUUAUACAAUAUGUGUCCUUUUGUUUCUGCCUCCUUUCACUUGGCAUAAUGUUUUCAGGAUUCAUCUAUGCUCUAUCAUGUACUUCAUUCCUUUCAUUACUGAUCGUAUUCCACCCUACAGAUAUACCACAUUUUGCUUAUCCAUAUGUCAGUUGAUGGACAUUUGAGUUGUUUCUACUUUUUGCCUACCAUGAAUAUUGCAGCUGUGAACAUUAGUAUACAAAAUGAAAUGUUUUACUGCAAAAUUUUAUGUAACAGAAUGAAAAUUUGUUAAAGUCUUCUACCUUAAUUCCUACACUGCUCAGUAUAAACGAUUACUUUUUGACUGAAUUUUUUCCUGAUAAAAGACUUAAAGUCAGAGAAUUGAGCAAAUAACUUUGUAAAAUAGCAGAUGGAACUGUGUCGAGAUUAAUAAGAAACCUCACCCUACUACCAUGUACAGAUUUACCUGAGUAGCUUCUAAAAGGUGAGGCUUCCUUGAGCCCAAGUCUCAGGACAUGGGGCUCUACCAUGGGGCCAUAUAGUUAGAGCCAAUGUAGUUUCUUGACUCAUAGUCAUGCAUUAAUAAUUCUUUUACUCUAUAAAUUCAGAUUCUUGUGAUCUCUGUACCGUAACUAUUUUUAAGUGGCAGAUUUUGAAAUUGAAUAUAAAUGAAAGUUCUAAAAUAAGAGCAAUGUUUACACAAUAGAAUUAAUAUAUUUUAUAGUAUCAGCUGAUUGUUAACAUUUCAAUGUUUCUAGGAAGAAAGUAGAUGCUAUUAUUUAGUUUCUUAGUCAUUAUACAGACAUUUAGUGGUCACCUACUGUUUGCUAAGUGCUAUUCUAUGAGGCAGGGCUAUAGCAGUUAACAAAACCCACAAACAUUUCUGCUGGAAUGGCACUUCCCAGUUUGCAGAAGAGAGAGGAGCUGAGAGGGGCAGAGUUGAGGAAAACAAAGAACUAAGGAGUGUUACUUGCUUGGGCCACACUGUGAACCUGUAAUUGAUUUGAUCUCUUAUAUUUCAAGAUAAGCUUUUUUUUUUUUUUUUUUUUUGAGGCAGAAUCUUGCUCUGUUGCCCAGGCUGGAGUGCAGUGGCACAAUCUUCACUCACUGCAACCUCCGCCUCCCAGGUUCAAGCGAUUAUCCUGCCUCAGCCUCCUGAGUAGCUGGUAUUGCAGGCAUGCGCCACCAUGCCUGGCUAAUUUUUUUUAUUUUUAGUACUGACAGGGUUUCACCAUGUUGGCCAGGCUGGUCUUGAACUCCUGGCCUCAAGUGAUCCGCCUGCCUUGGCCUGCCAAAGUGCUGGGAUUACAGGGGUGAGCCACCACACUUGGCCUCAACAUAAACCUUUUGAAAAGUAUAAAAUUUCUUUUUUCUCAUCUAUGCGUGAUUUUUCUAACAAAGUUAAAUUGAGUUAUGCUAAAAUACAGACUUGCUCUAAAACUUGGAUCAAGAUGAGAUUUUAAUUAGUUAUAACUGUUUAACAUUGUCCCAUUUUUACUAUUACAAAAAAAGAUAAGCAUGUGUAAGAAACUACUCCCCUCCUAAAAAUAUAUAUUCCCUAAAGCAUGUUAAUAAUUUUCUCAGAAAAAAAAAUGGAACAUUAAUUAGCUAGCACUGUGGCUGGCACAGGAGAGAUUCAUUAAAUUAUCUAUGAGGAGAGUAGCAGCAGUUUAGUAAACAAAUCUCUUUUUUGGAAAGCUAAAUGAAACUUUUUUUAAGCAAAAACAAAGGCUUUUUUAUGAUUUGGAGUUUUUGUGGUCUUUAAAUUAAAACUAUGUAUCUUUUUUUUGUAAAUUCAGAACUAAGCAUCUCUUUUCUGAUACUUUGUUAUUUCACAUUUCUUCUUAUGAAGAUUAUGAGUUUAACGAACAUGAAAGAGAGGCAAGAAGCUUUGCCAUCUUCCAUACAAGUGACAGGUGGAGGAGAGAAAAGGCCAAAGAGAAUGAGGAGGACUGGUUAACUUUCUUGAGAAAAUCUAAGUGUUAAAAUUGACUCACAAGCACAUUACUUUUCUGGGAAGAAACUUUUAAGUGGAGAAACCUUCUACUCCUCCACAAUGAAAAGAAGCUGUCCAGUAAACGAAAUCCCUCCUGCUUCAUGUCCACUUAGCAUGGCAGAUAAUUCGUACUCUACACUCUCCUGUGGAACAGAGAGCCUUACAGCUUACUGUUGUAUCAUCACAGUUCUAUGAUGGCAAUGUAUAAAAAUUAAGAUUGAGGCAUGAUAUUUUAAUGUCUUUUUUAUUUUCAGUCACAUUAAUUUAUCAGGGUUAAUUAGUGCCUGGUAUCACAUAUUUUUUUUUUUUUUGGUGAUGGGUUCCUUAUUCAAUUUUUAAAGAUUAGACCAUCUUAAAAUAUUUUUAGUGUUGACUGUGACAAUUUGUUUUUUGGCUUUCAAAACAAAUUAUUGUGUGUUUUAAGUAUGAUGACCCUAGUUUUAUUGGAGGUAUAUAUCUACCUCCUUUUGCUUUUUUAUUUGCUAAACUAGCUCAUACUGUAUCUCAUAAAAAGUACUUUACUAUCUUAUUUAAAACUUUGUAAGUAUUUUAAUGGCUGGGUAAUCCUUUAUCAUGUGUAUAUGCCAUAAUUUACGUAUGAUAGUAAUUUGGUUAUUUAGAAUGCUUACAUUUUCAUUCUAUUAUAAAUAAAAAUAUGAUGAACAUA